AUUGAACGCUGGCGGCAUGCUUUACACAUGCAAGUCGAACGGCAGCGCGGGCUUCGGCCUGGCGGCGAGUGGCGAACGGGUGAGUAAUGCAUCGGAACGUGCCCAGUAGUGGGGGAUAGCCCGGCGAAAGCCGGAUUAACACCGCAUACGACCUGAGGGUGAAAGCGGGGGCCCGAAAGGCCUCGCGCUAUUGGAGCGGCCGAUGUCGGAUUAGCUAGUUGGUGGGGUAAAGGCUUACCAAGGCGACGAUCCGUAGCUGGUCUGAGAGGACGACCAGCCACACUGGGACUGAGACACGGCCCAGACUCCUACGGGAGGCAGCAGUGGGGAAUUUUGGACAAUGGGGGCAACCCUGAUCCAGCCAUGCCGCGUGCGGGAAGAAGGCCUUCGGGUUGUAAACCGCUUUUGUUCGGGAAGAAAUCCUCUGGGCUAAUACCCCGGGGGGAUGACGGUACCGGAAGAAUAAGCACCGGCUAACUACGUG
rnacentral:rRNA from 1 species